GACGAACGCUGGCGGCGUGCUUAAUGAAUGCGAGUCGAGCGAGAACCGGACUGAGGAAACCUUCGGGUGGAAUCAGUCUGGGGAGAGCGGCAAACGGGUGAGUAACACGUGGGUAACCUGCCCCUCAGACGGGGAUAAUUCGCCGAAAGGCGGACUAAUACCCGAUGGUGAUGUGCCAACACAUGUUGAUACAUCUAAAGGCUCCGGUGCUGAGGGAGGGGUCCGCGGCCGAUUAGCUUGUUGGUAGGGUAACGGCCUACCAAGGCUUCGAUCGGUAGCCGGUCUGAGAGGAUGACCGGUCACACUGGGACUGAGACAUGGUCCAGACUCCUACGGGGGUUAGCAUCAGGGAAUCUUGCGCAAUGGGCGAAAGCCUGACGCAGCGACGCCGCGUGGGUGAUGAAGGCCUGCGGGUCGUAAAGCCCUGUCGGGAGGGAAGAAACAGCACCUUCGGGUGCUUUGACUGUACCUCCGGAGGAAGCCCCGGCUAAUUACGUGCCAGCAGCCGCGGUAAUACGUAAGGGGCCAGCGUUGUCCGGAAUUACUGGGCGUAAAGAGCACGUAGGCGGUUAGGAAAGCGAUAGGUGAAAUCCCCCGGCUCAACCGAGGAACUGCUUAUCGAACUGCCUGACUAGAGCACGGGAGAGGGCACUGGAAUUCCUGGUGUAGCGGUGGAAUGCGUAUAUAUCAGGAGGAACACCGGUGGCGAANGCUGGUGCCUGGGAACGUUGCUGACGCUAANGUGCGAAAGCCAGGGGAACAAACGGGAUUAGAUACCCCGGUAGUCCUGGCCGUAAACGAUGGACACUAGGUGUUGGAGGUUCGACCCCUUCAGUGCUGUUAAGCUAACGCGUUAAGUGUCCCGCCUGGGGAGUACGGUCGCAAGGCUGAAACUCAAAGGAAUUGACGGGGGCCCGCACAAGCGGUGGAGCAUGUGGGUCAAUGGGAUGAUACGCCGAGAACCUUACCAGGGCUUGACAUGACCCUGAUCCCCUGCGAAAGCAGGUCUUCUGGGCAACCAGACAGGGCCACAGGUGGUGCAUGGUUGUCGACGGCUCGUGUCGUGAGAUGUUGGGUUAAGUCCCGCAACGAGCGCAACCCUCGCCGGAUGUUGCCAGCGGUUAGGCCGGGCACUCUUCCGGGACUGCCGGAGUAAUCCGGAGGAAGGGGGGGAUGACGUCAAAUCUGCAUGCCCCUUAUGUCCUGGGCUGCACACGUGCUACAAUGGCGAGUACAAAGGGUCGCGAAGCCGCGAGGCCCAGCUAAUCCCCAAAAACUCGUCCCAGUUCGGAUUGGAGUCUGCAACUCGACUCCAUGAAGUCGGAAUCGCUAGUAACCGUGGAUCAGCAAUGCCGCGGUGAAUACGUUCCCGGGCCUUGUACACACCGCCCGUCAAGUCACGGAAGCCGACAGCACCCCAAGUCCGCUACGGCGGCCCAAGGUGAGGUCAGUGACUGGGACU
rnacentral:rRNA from 1 species